UGGCGAACGGGUGAGUAACGCGUGAGGAACCUGCCUCAAAGAGGGGGACAACAGUUGGAAACGACUGCUAAUACCGCAUAAGCCCACGGGUCGGCAUCGACCUGAGGGAAAAGGAGCAAUCCGCUUUGAGAUGGCUCGCGUCCGAUUAGCUAGUUGGUGAGGUAACGGCCCACCAAGGCGACGAUCGGUAGCCGGACUGAGAGGUUGAACGGCCACAUUGGGACUGAGACACGGCCCAG
rnacentral:rRNA from 1 species